AAUGAACGCUGGCGGCGUGCUUAAUACAUGCAAGUCGAGCGAGAAAGCUCCUUCGGGAGUGAGUAAAGCGGCGCACGGGCGAGUAACGCGUAAGUAACCUCCCCUCGAGACAGGGAUAACUCCGGGAAACCGGGGCUAAUACCUGGUAAGACCACGCAAGGGUGACCUUGUGGGGAAAAAGGAUGGCCACUACAUGUAAGCUAUCGCUUGAGGAUGGGCUUGCGUACCAUUAGCUAGUUGGCGGGGCAAAGGCCCACCAAGGCAAAGAUGGUUAGCUGGUCAGAGAGGACGACCAGCCACACUGGAAGUGAGACACGUGACAGACUCCUACGGGAGGCAGCAGUAGGGAAUUUUGCGCAAUGGGCGAAAGCCUGACGCAGCGACGCCGCGUGAGUGAAGAAGGCCUGCGGGUUGUAAAGCUCUGUCAGGAGGGACGAAUAACCGGAGUCGAACAGGCUCGCGGGAUGACGGUACCUUCAGAGGAAGCACCGGCUAACCCUGUGCCAGCAGCCGCGGUAA
rnacentral:rRNA from 1 species